GUGCUCAAACUGCUCUUCCUGAGACACAACCUCCAUGCCAUGCUCCUGGAAUGGGAUAACAUGGAAAGAAUGGAAAAUGUAUGGGAUCUACUUUGGGAUUGGGUUCCAGGCAUCCACCCUGCCCCAGAGCCCAGCUUGCUGCAGAAGCACUGGGAGGAGGGCACUGGGACCAGGGCUGGUGCCAGGGGAGGGCACUGGGACCAGGAUGGGCCCCUGUGCCAGGGCUGGUGCCAGGGAGCCCCAGCCAGCUGUGCUACAGGCACAGGGAGGGAAUGGGGAUCCAGGUGGAGUCAGGAGGUGCAAGAAGCACCAAGAAUCCAGAGCAAGCUCUGCAGGCAGUACAGAGCAGCUCCAGCCCAAUCGAGGAGAAAAACUGGAAGGUUCCCAGCAAAGCCUGCAGUCAGGAGGGAAAUGUGUGUUGGAGCAGGAGGCACCAGAGCUGGUGUGCAGCUCUCCCUGCCAGGCCUGCAGCUGGGAGCAGCAGCCAGGAUGCUGCUGGAGCCCUGCACAGGUACCCAGAGAGUCCUCAGGGACUCUACAGAACUCACAGAGCUCUGGGGUGGGAAAUGGCCUCAUUCCCUGGAACAAUGUUUGGGAAGGGCUGUGCUGUCCUGACCCCACAGAAUCCAUCCUCUGCUCUGCUGCUCAGCACAAAGCCAGGCAGGGAGGGGUGCCAUGGGCUGAAACCCACCUGGCCCAAGUCCUGGCAUCUUCCCUGGGCUGGGUCUAAGCUGAGGCCAGAGCUGGGAGCGCUGACAGUGCUGCAGGAAAAGCUUUGGGCAGCCCUCACACCCCACAAGGAUUCCCAGGAUGAGCUGGCAAUGGACCAAGGCACGGAUGCUGAACUGGGCUGGGCAAAUUAAACUGAGAGAAAGGAGGCCAAAAGCACCCGGGAGAGGCUGGGAAUGGCUCUGAGGCUGGAAUCUUCCUCACCAAGAUGUGCUGGAGGUGGAGUGUGGGGCCCUCCCCCAGGAAGGGGCUGGCACAGGGCAGGGUGACUCUCAGCUGGUUCCUGGAGUUAUCAAACAAUUAAAGAAGUGAUAAAUUUAG
rnacentral:lncRNA from 1 species